CCCCCCCCCCCCCUCCCUCCCUUCAUAUGGAAAGCAGCACAUACAACUCAAUUUACUUCUAUUGGCUGGAAAUAUUUAAAGCAUGACAGUGGCGUAGGUAAAUUACCAAAUAGUGGAUCUUAUGUUGGAUUGAUCAGCCCUGAUGAACUGACCUGACCAUUGUAAUUGAAACCAUAACUCAUGACCACUCUAUCUGUAUAGGUCCUGGUAUACCCUGGGAUAAUGUUCACCCACAACUUUUAACUUGAAAUCUUAAAGGAAGUUUUGCUAAACUAACAAGCAUGAAUGUCUGGUACAGUAAGAUAGGGUUAAUGGUCAACCUGACAUCAUGGUUCAUUCAUUGGGACAGCUAAUGUUUGUGUCUGAUCAAGCAGUUCUCAAGUUAGGGCUUGAUGAAGUCUACAAACUGACCAUUAUAUCUACUGGACAAAAAAGGAUCUUAUAUGUAUAUUUUAAACCUGGUCAAUGCCUAUUUCUCCACUAUUGUCGACAUCUUGAGACAUCACCAUCGGCAGAAACCGAAGACGGCUGAUACAUUUGUGUGGGUGAAAAACUGAAGGCGUCGCUCGAAGACAGCUGAUACAUUUGUGUGGGUGAAAAACUCAAGGCUUCGCUCGAAGACAGCUGAUACAUUUGUGUGGGUGUAAAAUUCAAGGCGUCGCCUGAAGACAGAUGAUACAUCGUUUCCACUUGAGCGCUCGUCACCAACUUUUGACACGCUCUUGCACUGUCGAGGUUUCACCUUACAUUGCUAUACAGAAGGUCCUCCAUUUAGACCUCUGUUCACUUAUGGUCAUUCUAAUUUUUCAGAGACUUUACAUAUUUGGAUUAUCUAAGCUGAAGUUCUCCACUUAAGUACUGUUGGAUUAUUUAUACGAAUGUUCAAGUACU